rnacentral:rRNA from 1 species
UACAGAGGUCCCGAGCGUUGUUCGGAUUCAUUGGGCGUAAAGGGUGCGUAGGCGGCGGGGAAAGUCUGAUGUGAAAUCCUGGGGCUCAACCCUGGAACUGCAUUGGAUACUUCCUUGCUAGAGUACUGGAGAGGAAACUGGAAUUUACGGUGUAGCAGUGAAAUGCGUAGAGAUCGUAAGGAAGGCCGGUGGCGAAAGCGAGCCUCUGGACAGUUACUGACGCUGAUGCACGAAGGCCAGGGGAGCAAACGGG